rnacentral:lncRNA from 1 species
CUGCCAGUGCAGUAAGGAGGUGAUAGCCAGCAGGAGUGGGGGACAUCGUGAAGGUUAUGGAGCUCAGCUGUUCUGCUGACACCCCCACCCAGGGUACAUAUACCCCUCCAGUCCCACUGGCAGAGUUUUGUGUCUCUUGCUGGCUGUGGUGGGUGCUGGAAAUCCUGUUUUGUCCUUCACCAGCUUACCAAGGAGGUUUCCCUGGGUUUAUAAACGACUGCAUUUCCCUUCAGCAUGACAGCUGCAGCUUCACCUCUUCUCGUGUGAACCUGGAGUCAGGGCCAAGCCAGAGAAAAGAAGCCAACACCUUUGGGCAAAGAAAACAACAAAAUCUAAGGAGAAGAGCCAGGAAGAAGGGAGGGAAGAGAUGUUCAUGGAAAAAUCUACCUCUAAAAGUCCUAUGCUGUCCAGCAAUAGUUUUUUUCUUGAAAAAUCUGCAUGUAAAACCAAUGCAGUGUUUUACAUAUUUAUUCAGUUUUCCUCACUGAAAGGAUACUCUAGCACAUUUAGUGCCAAUAAAGUCUCCGGAGCUCUCA